AUUGAACGCUGGCGGCAGGCCUAACACAUGCAAGUCGAGCGAGCGGCGGACGGGUGAGUAAUAUAUGGGGCCUGCCUGAUAGAGGGGGAUAACUACUGGAAACGGUGGCUAAUACCGCAUACUAUCGGAUAACCCAUAUUGGAUUAGCUAGUCGGUGGGGUAAAGGCUCACCUAGGCGACGCUCUCUAGCUGGUCUGAGAGGAUGAUCAGACACACUGGUACUGAGACACGGCCCAGACGCCUACGGAGGCAGCAGUGGGGAAUAUUGCACAAUGGGCGCAAGCCUGAGGCAGCCAUGCCGCGUGUAUGAAGAAGGCCUUAGGGUUGUAAAGUACUUUCAGCGGGGAGGCGUUACCCGCAGAAGAAGCACCGGCUAACUCCGUGCCAGCCGCCGCGGUAAUAC
rnacentral:rRNA from 1 species